CAUGUCCUGAUGGAUGGAGGAUGUUCAGCUUUUCUUGUUAUCUCCUCAUUACUAAGACUGGUUCUUGGAAUAAAGCCAGAGAAGACUGCAGGAACAAAGGAGGAGAUCUGGUGGUGAUAAACAACGAUGAUGAACAGAAUUUUGUUCUUACGAUUUCUGUGAACUCACCUUGGAUUGGUUUGAGUGAAGAAACGGAGGGAUCCUGGAAGUGGGUUGAUGGCACUGCUCUGAGUUCUGAACUUGAAAAAUUCUGGGGAGAGGAACAGCCUGAUAAUGCUGGUGGAAAUGAGAAUUGUGUACAGAUCUGGGGAAACAGCAAGACAUGGAAUGAUGAAAAAUGUGAAUCUUCUUUGCCGUGCAUCUGUGAAAAGGCUCCAAUGUAAUGAUGGGUAAAUAUUAGUGGUUGCUUUCCAACUGAGGCUAAUUUUAAGCUUUACGUUUUGUCCUCCACUGCAGAUACCUGAAGAGGUUUUAACAUUACAUAUUAUAGAUACAGUGCAGUAGCACCAUUUUUAAAGUGUUAUUUCUUUAAAAACACAAAUUAUCCAUUUGCAGAUUAGAUUUAACUGUAAUUUCUUUCACAAAAAUGCUUCUUAAAUAUGGAUGUACAGCCUAUUGUUGCUUUCAGUCUGCUGUCUGCUUCAUUGUAAAGCUUGUUGAAAUUAAUCCUGUCAUCUGUAACAUCUAGCAGUGUGUGGACGUCCACAAAAAGGCCUGAUUUUUGUGACUGCACCAAAUGUUCACAUCAAUACUGAAAGUACAGAUACCAUUUAAAUGGUGGCAAUAGAAGAGCAAAUAAAGAAAAACAAUUUAACAUAAGCAGAAGAAAUAACAGUAAGACAAUUGUUUUUAAGAAAUACAGAGUGGAGAGAUUAUAUUGUUGACCCCUCUGGAUUAUUUCUCAAGAACCGCGAGGACAAAAAACUGUAUUGUGUGUUUGGUGAGAAAUUGUCAUUUUCUUCUUCUCUUGUAAUCAGAAAGCACACAAACUGCAUCAUUCUCACCGUGAGACUCAUCUCUGAGUGGAGAGCAGCAGUUCAUCUUAGUGAAUAUGAACACAUUCCUGUCCACACAGUCUGAGUGACUCACAUUUACAUACGAUCAGGUCUCAACAUUUGAUCAUGUGAUCAAUUAUCAUUAACUAAUUUGUAUUCAGUGAACUUACAACCAUCAGAACAGCAAAAGGCCUCUUUUUGUUACUUAACAGAACAAAAGCUCCUAUCUGCUACAUUUACUGUACCGGUUACUGUCCAUGUUGAUGAUGUCAUUGGAAAGUUUUGUAUGGAUGAUAUUAUCUUGAAAAGUUGGAACUGUAUUUUGUAAUUCCUUGUGGCUUUAAAAGGCAAUUAAAUAAUAAACUUGCAGAUUCUGGAAAUGUCAUUUUUUUGUAUUUUGUAGGUUUUAUGGCUCCCUCUCACUAUGUAAAAGUUUGCAUGUUUUUAUUUUAUUUCUUUAUUUAAAUAGGUUCAUUUUUUUUAGGGACACACUGUGAUGGUGUUGUGAUUUUGGUAAU